rnacentral:rRNA from 1 species
GAUGAACGCUGGCGGCGUGCCUAAUACAUGCAAGUCGAGCGAACAGAUGAGGAGCUUGCUCCUCUGACGUUAGCGGCGGACGGGUGAGUAACACGUGGAUAACCUACCUAUAAGACUGGGAUAACUUCGGGAAACCGGAGCUAAUACCGGAUAAUAUAUUGAACCGCAUGGUUCAAUAGUGAAAGACGGUUUUGCUGUCACUUAUAGAUGGAUCCGCGCCGCAUUAGCUAGUUGGUAAGGUAACGGCUUACCAAGGCAACGAUGCGUAGCCGACCUGAGAGGGUGAUCGGCCACACUGGAACUGAGACACGGUCCAGACUCCUACGGGAGGCAGCAGUAGGGAAUCUUCAGCAAUGGGCGAAAGCCUGACGGAGCAACGCCGAGUGAGUGAUGAAGGUCUUCGGAUCGUAAAACUCUGUUAUUAGGGAAGAACAAAUGUGUAAGUAACUAUGCACGUCUUGACGGUACCUAAUCAGAAAGCCACGGCUAACUACGUG